CUCACCACUGUAUUCUAAACAGAAGCCAAUAGAGGGAGAAAAACAAAGCCAAGUGCAAAAGCUGUGGGCACUGAAAGUUUUGCUCCACCGGCCGCGCAGCACCCACUUGGGGUCGGGCUUUGGGACUUGGGGGAGUCAGGAGCAGGCGGGGGCUGGGGAGAGGACGAGGCCCUGGGGAGGGGCUGGAAAAGGCUUUUCACAGCGACUGGCACUUGAUAUUUCCAAGUCUUCUGGAUGUCACUCACCGGAAACCAGACCCUGCGGUGCGAAGACUCAGGUGGCAAAGGCAAAAGCUGGACUGCAUUGUGUGGCCCCAGGGAGCUGCAGACAGAGGAACUGAGUCCUGGCCACUGUGCCUGCUGUCUCUUACAAGUUUAGAGAUGCUGGCAUUGCAUCGAAAUCGGACAACACUCCCUUCCCUCCCUUCCCAGAGACUCCCAGCUUUGGUGUCCUUAAGAAAGGGACUUACUGACUUCAUGCAUCUUUCAAGCAAAGAUUAACAACAAUGAUAAUAGAGUAAUAAGUUGGCCUGGAAUCUUGGCAAAACUGAAAACCACAUGUUCUGAGAGUCUCUUCCUGCGCUGGUAAUUAAGUUUCUUCCCCCUACAAAAUGAGACUCUUUUGGACCAACAGGCGUUAGGCAUGUGGACAUCUUGAUGGGAUCCCAUCUUCUCUUUUGAGGAUCAAAUCCUGGCCAACUUUGUUUGAUGUUCAGAGCCCUGUAUGGGAGUCAAAGCCUGCUAAUAAAGCAGUCGUGCCUGUUUGGAGUCAUUCUACAGCUCAGGACUUCAUCCCAGGAGGGAGGUGUAGUGGGUGACUCACUAACUGUAAUAUAAACAACGACAACAAAAGGGUCUCUGAGUCACACUGACAUUGUGGAAUCAAACAUAUAUCUCUGUGCCCUGACCCCCACCAAGGAUGCAGUCACACGGAUGUCCAGUUAUCUUCUAAUCAAUGCCCAGUCCAGAUGGUCACCACCCACCUCUGCAGCAAAAGUCACUGCGCAUUUGGAUAUCUACACAGCUUGUUUGUAACUGAGUUAGUGCAGCCUAGUAAGGUACAGAUGUUUUCCUUUUAAUCCUGUUUGUACUUUGAAAUGGUCACACUCGAUGUCAUUUGGCUGCAGGAAGCUCCUCCAGGAAUGAUCCCGCAAGAGAAAUGGGAUGUGCGUGGCACCAUCUGAUUCGGGGCAGCUCUGUCACUCCCUGCAGAACUGAGCACACUGAAUUUAUUUGAAUAGAACAGGUUAUGAGGGUGAGGAUAAACAUAUCAAUACCUCAUUUUUUUUUUGAACGCCGACUCUAUGAUCGGAUUACCUGGCCCUUCAAGAGCAGGAAAGAAGACCUGACAUAUAACUCCCAGCCCCAG
rnacentral:lncRNA from 1 species